rnacentral:lncRNA from 1 species
AUGGCCCAGGACUUGCCCCUGGGAUCUGUGGGAUUUGACGGCACCUCCAAGGGGAGAGUGUCAGACUUGAAUAGAAGGUUGUACACCCAGCUUGGGUCAGAGAUUUGGUUGGUGUGAAUAAAACCCCAUAUGCUUGAUGUCAGGCUAAACAUCCUCCCAGACAACUGUCCAGCCAUAUCAACAGUUUCUGCCCACAAAUCUGUGUAGAUCUGUACUUUUGACCAUCUUUCUUUCCUUCCAGGCAAAGUAGACACCCACGUACUACUCUGUUCUCCCAGCAGGAAGAUCUCCCUCCUCCAGGUCCUCAGGGCUCUCUGAGAGGGCCUGGAACUCUUCACCUCCCAACAACCAGGCUUGGGGCUUUUCCUCAGGCAGCUGGUGAGCAAGAUUGUGUCACAGGUCUGGAGGCUGAGAAGUUCAAGAUCAAUGUGCUGCAGAGUCCGGUGAGGCAGCUCUUGGCUUGAAAGAUGGCACCUUGCUGGCACCUCCUCCAGAGGGAACGAAUGCUACAUCUUCACAUGGCGGAAGGAGUUGAUAAAUGUGAGCACCAGAUAAACAUGAUGCCUGGGCUUAUUAUUGAAGAACGGCAACCCUGCGUGAAGUGGCAGUUCUGUGCCAGUCUGCAGCCCUGGAUGGCUUUGCGUUGCUUAAGGAUAAACAGGUUGGAGUUGCAUAUGGUCAACAUUUUUUGUGAAGAGCAGACUGGGUGGAG